UCCUUCAUCUGCCAGCUACUGCAUUGGAAUGAGCUGGUGAGCAGCCUGUGCUGGGCAGGCUUCACAAAGGAACGUAAAAGACAAGUACCAGGAAAAGACAUGAUUCUCUGGAAGAAACAAGAUGAAAACCAACAUGACCAAAUGAAAAUAAAGAAGGAUUAGACACAACCUACUGGGACACACAGGGCG